ensembl:lncRNA
UGUGAACAAGGUGGAGAAGAUCCAAAUGGACCCAGAUGACACCAUGGUCUCAUUUGAUGUCACCUCCUUGUUCACCUGCAUCCCUACACCAGAAGCCACAGAGAUGGUAAGGACUUGCCUCACACAAGACAGCACACUCAAGGAGAGAACCAACCUAACGCCAGACCACAUCUGUGACCUGCUGGACCUCUGCCUGACCACCACUUAUUUCCAGUACAAUGGGAACUUUUACAGACAGAAGCACGGCUGUGCGAUGGGAUCACCUGUGUCUCCUAUUGUGGCCAACCUCUACAUGGAAGAAGUGGAGAGAAGAGCCCUGAGUUCCUAUCCUGGAACCACCCCCACCCACUGGUUUAGAUAUGUGGAUGACACCUGGGUCAAAAUCAAGACUAACGAAGUGGAACGGUUCACAGAACACAUCAACGCAGUGGAUAAUAACAUCAAGUUCACUCGCGAGGACACCAAGGACAACAAUCUGGCCUUCUUGGACUGCACAGUACAUAUUGAGGAGGACAGGAGCCUCAAUGUGGAAGUGUACAGGAAACCCACACACACGGACCAGUACCUGUUGUUUGAUUCACACCACCCACUGGAACACAAACUUGGAGUCAUCAGGACCCUGCAGCACAGAGCACAAACUGUACCCACCAGCUCAGAGGGGAAGAAGAAGGAGCAACACCACAUCAGGAAGGCCCUGCAAACAUGUGGCUACCCGAAGUGGGCACUCAUCAAAGCCACAAAAACAAGACCCCCCAACAACAAGAAGAAGGACAACACCAGGCGGAGAAAGAACAUCUCCAUUCCAUAUGUGUCAGGAGUAUCAGAGAAACUCCGCAGGAUCUUCAACAACCAUGACAUCCCGGUCCAUUUCAAACCUAUGACAACACUGAGACAGAGACUGGUUCACCCGAAGGAUAAGAUUCCCAGGGAGAAACACAGCAAUGUGAUAUAGGCAGUCCAGUGCAGUGAGGAAUGCUCUGAUCUGUACAUUGGAGAAACUAAACAACCACUCCACAGAAGAAUGGCUCAGCACAGGAGAGCCACCUCUUCAGGACAAGACUCAGCUGUUCACCUCCACCUCAAAGACAAAGGACACUCCUUUGAGGACAACAACGUUCACAUUUUAGACAGGGAGGAAAGGUGGUAUGAAAGAGGAGUUAAGGAAGCCAUCUAUGUUAAACUGGAAAAACCUUCCCUUAACAGAGGUGGUGGCCUCAGACAUCAUCUUUCUACCACAUACAAUGCAGUGAUUCCAUCCAUUCCCAGGAAGUUUACACAUACUCACAGUAAGAACAAAGGGCUGUCAAUCAGUCCCCCUCCGGCAGUUUCAUAGUCGUUAGCCAGUCGUUAGACUCACCUGGCCCAGUCAGCCAG